CCUACGGGGCGCAGCAGUGGGGAAUAUUGGACAAUGGGGGGAACCCUGAUCCAGCGACGCCGCGUGAGUGAAGAAGUAUUUCGGUAUGUAAAGCUCUAUCAGCAGGGAAGAAAGAAAUGACGGUACCUGACUAAGAAGCCCCGGCUAACUACGUGCCAGCAGCCGCGGUAAUACGUAGGGGGCAAGCGUUAUCCGGAUUUACUGGGUGUAAAGGGAGCGUAGACGGCGAUGCAAGUCUGAAGUGAAAGGCGGGGGCCCAACCCCCGGACUGCUUUGGAAACUGUAUGGCUGGAGUGCAGGAGAGGUAAGUGGAAUUCCGAGUGUAGCGGUGAAAUGCGUAGAGAUUAGGAGGAACACCAGUGGCGAAGGCGGCUUACUGGACUGUAACUGACGUUGAGGCUCGAAAGCGUGGGGAGCAAACAGGAUUAGAUACCCCAGUAGUC
rnacentral:rRNA from 1 species